rnacentral:rRNA from 1 species
AAGUCGUAACAAGGUUUCCGUAGGUGAACCUGCGGAAGGAUCAUUAAUGAAAACGAGUAACUCCUAGUCGAGUACUCAACCCUCAUUUCCAACUCUGUGCAUUUUAGAGGGCUGUUUCAGCACUCCUUACUAUAAAACACUCAGUAUAAAGUAUGUAAAUUAAAUAUAUAAUAAAAAAAAACUUUCAACAACGGAUCUCUUGGCUCUCGCAUCGAUGAAGAACGCAGCGAAAUGUGAUAAGUAAUGUGAAUUGCAGAAUUCAGUGAAUCAUCGAAUCUUUGAACGCACCUUGCACUCUUUGGUAUUCCGAAGAGUAUGUCUGUUUGAGUGUCAUGAACUCUUCAACCUAAUAGUAUUUUAUAUACUGCUAGGCUUGGUUUCUGGGGUGUACUCUUUAUGGAGUUGCCCCGUAAUGCAUUAGCCAAACUCAAUUCAUCUCGAAAUUGACUCUGUGUAAUAGACUAUUCGCAGAGGAGAGAUCAUGAGUUGGCUACUAAUCAACUUAGGUCCAUUUUAAUUUAGACCUCAAAUCAGAUAGGAUUACCCGCUGAACUUAAGCAUAUCAAUAAGCGGAGGAAAAGAAACUAACCAGGAUUCCCCUAGUAACGGCGAGUGAAGCGGGAAGAGCUCAAAUUUGUAAUCUAACUUCUUAGAAGUUCGAGUUGUAAUCUCGAGAAGUGUUUUCCGUGUUGGACCGCAUACAAGUCUGUUGGAAUACAGCGUGAAAUAGGUGAUAACCCUGUCCAUGAUGCGGAUACAGCCAAUACUUUGUGUCACACUUUCGAAGAGUCGAGUUGUUUGGGAAUGCAGCUCAAAUUGGGUGGUAAAUUCCAUCUAAAGCUAAAUAUUGGCGAGAGACCGAUAGCGAACAAGUACCGUGAGGGAAAGAUGAAAAGCACUUUGGAAAGAGAGUUAACAGUACGUGAAAUUGUUGGAAGGGAAACGCUUCAACUUAGACUUGCAGGUGGGUGUUCACUCGUUACAGAGGUAUUCACUCACUCGCAGGCCAGCAUCAGUUUUCGGGGGUGAAAAAUCGUUUUUAAAAGGUAGCAUUCCUCGUGAAUGUGUUAUAGUUUUAGACUGGAUUCAUCCUUGGGGACUGAGGUUAGUAGGGUACUGUAUUGUAUCAGUUUCGGCUGAUUUUACCCUUUGGAUGCUGGUAGAAUGGGUUGAAACGACC